GUAGUCUAGCCUUACUUUUUAACAUAUUAAUGGCUAUAUGUAUCUAUGAAGCAUUCAGCCAAAUUAUUGAAGUACAUGUAAAUCCAUACAAUACUUGUAAAUGAGCCAUCAUAAGCUUUAUUAUGUAUUUUGGCUUACAUUUAAUUCUUAACCUAAAACAAGAGAAUUUCAUAUUAUUAUAGGAGCAACACGAAUAGUCAUUCAAAUUAAUCAUAGUUUGAUUGUGUUAUGUUAAAUAAUGUAACAAGUUAUUCAUGAUGAAUCUAACAUUAUCAUCAAAGGGCAAUAAGAUUAGUUGCUGUAGCAUUGGGACGCUAUAGCAAAAGCAUUGCUACUGGAUUGGACAGUGUAGCUGCUUGGAACAACUCUUCAGUGGACUGGACUAUGGCUGCAAAAGCUCACUGUCAUUAUCUUGUUUUGAAAGCCUUCCAUUCAAGUAUAGAUGCAGCUAAAGUGUGUGAAGCUAAUUGUAAUAUAUUGAGAGUUUUGUGUUGCUUGUUUGGACUUCGUGGUAUAAUACAGUACAGUGGAGAAUUCUGCUUGGAUGGUUAUAUGAAUAGUGAUCAGAUUGAAAUGGUUAAAAAUCAACUUUAUUCGCUACUGAAGGAAGUCAGGUA